AGUGAACGCUGGCGGCGUGCCUAAUACAUGCAAGUCGAACGGACAAGUAAGAGCUUGCUCUUAUGAGUUAGUGGCGCACGGGUGAGUAAUGUAUAGCUAAUCUGCCCUACACUAGAGGACAACAGUUGGAAACGACUGCUAAUACUCUAUACUCCUCUCUAGCAUAAGUUAGAUAGGGAAAGUUUUUCGGUGUAGGAUGAGGCUAUAUUGUAUCAGCUAGUUGGUGAGGUAAUGGCUCACCAAGGCUAUGACGCAUAACUGGUCUGAGAGGAUGAUCAGUCACACUGGAACUGAGACACGGUCCAGACUCCUACGGGAGGCAGCAGUAGGGAAUAUUGCUCAAUGGGGGAAACCCUGAAGCAGCAACGCCGCGUGGAGGAUGACACUUUUCGGAGCGUAAACUCCUUUUGUUAGGGAAGAACAAGACGGUACCUAAC
rnacentral:rRNA from 1 species